CCUACAGGAGGCAGCAGUGGGGGAUAUUGCACAAUGGGGGAAACCCUGAUGCAGCGACGCCGCGUGAGUGAAGAAGUAUUUCGGUAUGUUAAGCUCCAUCAGUAGGGAAGAAAAUGACAGUACCUGAAGAUAAAGCAUCGGCUAACUCCGUGCCAGCAGCCGCGGUAAUACGGAGGAUGCGAGCGUUAUCCGGAUUUAUUGGGUUUAAAGGGUGCGCAGGCGGUAUGUCAAGUCAGCGGUAAAAUUUCGGGGCUCAACCCCGUCGUGCCGUUGAAACUGGCGUUCUUGAGUGAGCGAGAGGUAUGCGGAAUGCGUGGUGUAGCGGUGAAAUGCAUAGAUAUCACGCAGAACUCCGAUUGCGAAGGCAGCAUACCGGCGCUCAAUUGACGCUCAUGCACGAAAGCGUGGGUAUCGAACAGGAUUAGAUACCCUAGUAGUC
rnacentral:rRNA from 1 species